AACGAACGCUGGCGGCAUGCCUAACACAUGCAAGUCGAACGAGACCUUCGGGUCUAGUGGCGCACGGGUGCGUAACGCGUGGGAACCUGCCCUUAGGUUCGGAAUAACUCCCCGAAAGGGGUGCUAAUACCGGAUAAUGUCUUCGGACCAAAGAUUUAUCGCCUUUGGAUGGGCCCGCGUUGGAUUAGCUAGUUGGUAGGGUAAAAGCCUACCAAGGCGACGAUCCAUAGCUGGUCUGAGAGGAUGAUCAGCCACACUGGGACUGAGACACGGCCCAGACUCCUACGGGAGGCAGCAGUGGGGAAUAUUGGACAAUGGGCGAAAGCCUGAUCCAGAAAUGCCGCGUGAGUGAUGAAGGCCUUAGGGUUGUAAAGCUCUUUUACCCGGGAUGAUAAUGACAGUACCGGGAGAAUAAGCGCCGGCUAACUCCGUG
rnacentral:rRNA from 1 species